GAUGAACGCUGGCGGCGUGCCUAAUACAUGCAAGUCGAGCGAACAGACGAGGAGCUUGCUCCUCUGACGUUAGCGGCGGACGGGUGACUAACACGUGGAUAACCUACCUAUAAGACUGGGAUAACUUCGGGAAACCGGAGCUAAUACCGGAUAAUAUAUUGAACCGCAUGGUUCAAUAGUGAAAGACGGUUUUGCUGUCACUUAUAGAUGGAUCCGCGCCGCAUUAGCUAGUUGGUAAGGUAACGGCUUACCAAGGCGACGAUGCGUAGCCGACCUGAGAGGGUGAUCGGCCACACUGGAACUGAGACACGGUCCAGACUCCUACGGGAGGCAGCAGUAGGGAAUCUUCCGCAAUGGGCGAAAGCCUGACGGAGCAACGCCGCGUGAGUGAUGAAGGUCUUCGGAUCGUAAAACUCUGUUAUUAGGGAAGAACAAAUGUGUAAGUAACUAUGCACGUCUUGACGGUACCUAAUCAGAAAGCCACGGCUAACUACGUG
rnacentral:rRNA from 1 species